rnacentral:rRNA from 1 species
GACGAACGCUGGCGGCGUGCCUAAUACAUGCAAGUCGAGCGGACUUUCAGGAGUGCUUGCCCUCCGGAAGGUUAGCGGCGGACGGGUGAGUAACACGUAGGCAACCUGCCCAUAAGACCGGGAUAACAUUCGGAAACGAAUGCUAAUACCGGAUAGACGGACUUCUCGCAUGAGGGGAUCGGGAAAGGCGGAGCAAUCUGCCGCGUAUGGAUGGGCCUGCGGCGCAUUAGCGGGUUGGUGGGGGAACGGCCUACCAAGGCGGAGAUGCGUAGCCGGCCUGAGAGGGUGAUGAGCCACACUGGAACUUAGACACGGGCCAGACUCCCACGGGGGGGCGAAGGGGGGAAUAUUGGCCAAUGGGCGCAAGUCUGAACGAGCCAACCCGCGUGGGUGAAGAAGGCCCUCGGGUUGUAAAGCCCUUUUGUCCGGGAAGAAAAGGGGAGGGGGAAUACCCCCCUGUCCUGACGGUACCCAAAGAAAAAGCCCCGGCCAACUUCGUG